rnacentral:rRNA from 1 species
GAGGGGAAGAUGGAAUUAGUAGUGUAGGGGUAUAAUCCGUAUAGAUUACUAGGAAUACCAAAAGCGAAGGUGAUCUUCUGGAACAGUACUGACGCUGAGAUGCGAAAGCGUGGGGAGCAAACAGGAUUAGAUACCCUGGUAGUCCACGCAGUAAACGAUGAAUGUUAGUCGUUGGGACUCUAGUAGUAUCAGUGAUGCAGUUAACACAUUAAACAUUCCGCCUGGGGAGUCCGGUCGCAAGAUUAAAACUCAAAGGAAUAGACGGGGAACCGCACAAGUGGUGGAGCAUGUGGUUUAAUUCGAAGAUACGCGAAGAACCUUACCUAGCCUCGACAUACUACAGAAUUUGACAGAGAUGUUGAAGUGCAUUCGGGAGCUGUAAUACAGGUGCUGCACGGCUGUCGUCAGCUCGUGUCGUGAGAUGUUGGGUUAAGUCCCGCAACGAGCGCAACCCUCGUCCUUAGUUGCUAACGGUUUGGCCGCGGACUCUAAGGAGACUCCCUUCGUAAGGAGGAGGAAGGUGAGGACGACGUCAAGUCAUCAUGUGCCCUUACGGCUAGGGCAACACACGUGCUACAAUGGUUAGGACAAUGAGAAGCGAUACCGCGAGGUGGAGCAAAUCUAUAAACCUAUAUCUCAGUUUGGAUAGCAGUCUGCAACUCGACUGCCUGAAGCUGGAAUCUCUAGUAAUUGUAAAUACAGGCUAUGUUACGGUGAAUACGU